rnacentral:misc_RNA from 1 species
GAUGAAGAACGUAGCGAAAUGCGAUACUUGGUGUGAAUUGCAGAAUCCCGUGAACCAUCGAGUCUUUGAACGCAAGUUGCGCCCGAAGCCAUUACGCCGAGGGCACGCCUGCCUGGGCGUCACACGUCGUUGCCCCCCCAUCUACUCCUUCGGGAUUGCGGGGGGCGGAUGAUGGCCUCCCGUGCGCCUCGUCGCGCGGUUGGCAUAAAUGCCAAGUCCUCGGCGACGCACGCCACGACAAUCGGUGGUUGCGAAACCUCGGUUGCCCGUCGUGUGCGGUCGUCGCGCAUCGAGGGCUCGAAAAAAUUGCCGGGCUCCGGCUCGGCUUUCAACGCGACCCCAGGUCAGGCGGGGUUACCCGCUGAAUUUAAGCAUAUCAAUAAGCGGAGGA